GUAUUUAUCGGAUAGCCUGGUUUAUUCCACUGCACUCGAAAUGCGGUAAGUCUUAACGGGCUUCGGAGGUUCGAAUCCUCCCGUCUCCGCCU
rnacentral:tRNA from 5 species